ACGCGAUAGGGUGAGUCGGCGGCGGAUUAGGUUGUUGGUGGGGUAAUGGCCCACCAAGCCGAAGAUCCGUAGGGGCCUUGAGAGAGGGAGCCCCGAGAAGGACACUGAAACACUGGUCCUAGCCCUACGGGGUGCAGCAGGCGCGGAACCUCUACAAUGCAGGAAACUGUGAUAGGGGGAUCCCAAGUGCUUGCACACAGUGCAGGCUUUUGCCAAGAGUAAAUACCUUGGCGAAUAAGUGGUGGGAAAGACUGGUGCCAGCAGCCGCGGUAACACCAGCGCCACGAGUGGCAAUCAUGUUUAUUGGGCCUAAAGCGUCCGUAGCCGGUUUGGUAAAUCUUUUGUGAAAUUACUCGGCUUAACCGAGUAGCGUGCAGAAGAGACUGCCAGACUUGGGACCGGGAGGAGUCAGAGGUAUUCCAUGGGGAGCGGUAAAAUGCUAUAAUCCUUGGAGGACCACCUGUGGCGAAGGCGUCUGACCAGAACGGAUCCGACGGUGAGGGACGAAAGCCAGGGGAGCAAACCGGAUUAGAUACCCGAGUAGUCCUGGCCGUAAACGCUGCGAGCUAGGUGUUGCACAAUCUACAGGAUUGUGCAAUGUCGGAGCGAAGGUGUUAAGCUCGCCGCCUGGGAAGUAUAGUCGCAAGACCGAAACUUAAAGGAAUUGGCGGGGGAGCACUACAAGGGGUGCGGCGUGCGGUUUAAUUGAACUCAACGCCGGAAAUCUUACCAGCAGCGACGGCAGAAUGAAGGUCAGAUUGAAGGUUUUACCUGACAAGCCGAGAGGAGGUGCAUGGCCGCCGUCAGCUCGUGCCGUAAGGUGUCCUGUUAAGUCAGGCAACGAGCGAGACCUGUACCUAUAAUUGCUAGCGACGGGUUUCCGGAUCGAGCACUUUAUAGGAACCGCCUCGGAAACAGGGAGGAAGGUGCAGGCUACGGUAGGUCUGUAUGCUCCGAAUCUGCUGGGCUACACGCGCGCAACAAUGGUAGGGACAAUGGGCCGCAACUCCGAAAGGAGAAGCUAAACCUCUAAACCCUAUCCCAGUCCAGAUCGAGGCUUGCAACUCAGCCUCGUGACGAUGGAAUCCCUAGUAAUUGGACGUCAACAUCGUCCAGUGAAUUUGUCCCUGCUCCUUGCACACACCGCCCGUCAAACCACUCGAGCAGAUUUUAGGUGAGUCGACAUUUUCUUGAUGUCGCCGAA
rnacentral:rRNA from 1 species